CGUUCCCGGGUCUUGUACACACCGCCCGUCACACCAUGGGAGCGGGUCUUACCAGAAGUAGGUAGCUUAACCGCAAGGGGGGCGCUUACCACGGUAGGAUUCGUGACUGGGGUG
rnacentral:rRNA from 1 species